GAUGAACGCUGGCGGUAUGCUUAACACAUGCAAGUCGAACGGUGUCUUCGGACACAGUGGCGGACGGGUGAGUAACGCGUGAGAAUCUGGCUCUAGGUCUGGGACAACCACUGGAAACGGUGGCUAAUACCGGAUGUGCCGAGAGGUGAAAGGUUAACUGCCUAGAGAUGAGCUCGCGUCUGAUUAGCUAGUUGGAAGUGUAAUGGACUCCCAAGGCGACGAUCAGUAGCUGGUCUGAGAGGACGAUCAGCCACACUGGGACUGAGACACGGCCCAGACUCCUACGGGAGGCAGCAGUGGGGAAUUUUCCGCAAUGGGCGAAAGCCUGACGGAGCAAUACCGCGUGAGGGAGGAAGGCUCUUGGGUCGUAAACCUCUUUUCUCAGGGAAGAACACAAUGACGGUACCUGAGGAAUAAGCAUCGGCUAACUCCGUGCCAGCAGCCGCGGUAAUACGGAGGAUGCAAGCGUUAUCCGGAAUGAUUGGGCGUAAAGCGUCCGCAGGUGGCAAUGUAAGUCUGCUGUUAAAGAGUCUAGCUCAACUAGAUAAGAGCAGUGGAAACUACAUAGCUAGAGUACGUUCGGGGCAGAGGGAAUUCCUGGUGUAGCGGUGAAAUGCGUAGAGAUCAGGAAGAACACCGGUGGCGAAGGCGCUCUGCUAGGCCGUAACUGACACUGAGGGACGAAAGCUAGGGGAGCGAAUGGGAUUAGAUACCCCAGUAGUCCUAGCCGUAAACGAUGGAUACUAGGCGUGGCUUGUAUCGACCCGAGCCGUGCCGUAGCUAACGCGUUAAGUAUCCCGCCUGGGGAGUACGCCGGCAACGGUGAAACUCAAAGGAAUUGACGGGGGCCCGCACAAGCGGUGGAGUAUGUGGUUUAAUUCGAUGCAACGCGAAGAACCUUACCAAGGCUUGACAUGUCGCGAAUCCUGGUGAAAGCUGGGAGUGCCUUCGGGAGCGCGAACACAGGUGGUGCAUGGCUGUCGUCAGCUCGUGUCGUGAGAUGUUGGGUUAAGUCCCGCAACGAGCGCAACCCUCGUUUUUAGUUGCCAGCAUUAAGUUGGGCACUCUAGAGAGACUGCCGGUGACAAACCGGAGGAAGGUGGGGAUGACGUCAAGUCAGCAUGCCCCUUACGCCUUGGGCUACACACGUACUACAAUGCUCCGGACAGAGGGCAGCAAGCAUGCGAAUGCAAGCAAAUCCCGUAAACCGGAGCUCAGUUCAGAUCGCAGGCUGCAACUCGCCUGCGUGAAGGAGGAAUCGCUAGUAAUUGCAGGUCAGCAUACUGCAGUGAAUUCGUUCCCGGGCCUUGUACACACCGCCCGUCACACCAUGGAAGCUGGUAGUGCCCGAAGUCAUUACUCCAACCUUUCGGGGAGGAGGAUGCCUAAGGCAGGACUGGUGACUGGGGUGAAGUCGUAACAAGGUAGCCGUACCGGAAGGUGUGGCUGGAUCACCUCCUUU
rnacentral:rRNA from 1 species